UACGUAGGGUGCAAGCGUUAUCCGGAAUUAUUGGGCGUAAAGAGCUCGUAGGCGGUUUGUCGCGUCUGCUGUGAAAACCCGAGGCUCAACCUCGGGCCUGCAGUGGGUACGGGCAGACUAGAGUGCGGUAGGGGAGAUUGGAACUCCUGGUGUAGCGGUGGAAUGCGCAGAUAUCAGGAAGAACACCGAUGGCGAAGGCAGAUCUCUGGGCCGUAACUGACGCUGAGGAGCGAAAGCAUGGGGAGCGAACAGG
rnacentral:rRNA from 1 species